AUCUUUGCGCAGUGGAGGUGUCGUACCCAAUGAAGUGACAACUGUGGGGCGAAUAUUGCCAGUGAAAAGCCGUUUCACAAUACCCCACUUUGAUGACGUGAAUCACCGUCGGCCGUGGCAAGUUUUGGACGGAGCUGGGCAC